rnacentral:rRNA from 1 species
GGAAUUUUCCGCAAAGGGGCGAAAACCCGACGGAGCAAUACCCCGUGAGGGAGGAAGGCCUGUGGGUUGUAAACCUCUUUUCUUAAGGAAGAAAACAGUGACGGUACCUGAGGAAUCAGCAUCGGCUAACUCCGUGCCAGCAGCCGCGGUAAGACGGAGGAGGCAAGCGUUAUCCGGAAUUAUUGGGCGUAAAGCGUCCGCAGGUGGGUUUACAAGUCUGCUGUCAAAGCGCAGAGCUCAACUCUGUAWAGGCAGUGGAAACUGGAAGUCUAGAGUAUGGUAGGGGUAGAGGGAAUUCCCGGUGUAGCGGUGAA